CAAAUUUUGUUCCCGUCUCACGAAACCAUGGUGUUAAAACUUCAUAGACGCCAUUUUAGUCCUUGGAAGGUGAUACCUAGUAGAAAUUCACAUAAUAAAUGAAUAUGUAACUGACUCAGGAUAUGUAACUGACGAAUUACAAGUGGCUUCAGUUACGCCACAAAAAUAAUUCAAGCACAAUACCUGCCCAUAGACAAUUGUAUGGUCUUAUUCAUAGCAGUAAUAAAAAUGUUUCCAAUUUUCCGGAAGGAUAGUGAUCAGAUAUUGCUGACCUGUUACGGUACACAGCCUACAUUCUACUCCGUAUUACGUAUGCAGAAUGAAGCAGUGUUAGGCAUGUCAAGAAAUGUCAGUUAAUUUUCUUCGAAUUACAAUGGAAUCGUCUUUGUUUGGUAAAUAACAGAACUAUCAUGCUGAUACAGAAAACAUCUGAUUACAAUCCGCUAUAAUAUGAAAUCAAGCUGUUGUCUCAUUUCUUCGGUCGUUUUAGGAACCAAUAAAUGUGAUGAUCCGAGGAUAAAUAACACAGACCAGCUAGAGACCAGUUCGCUGACGUAGUAACAAUUUCCAGAGAAUAAUAUGUGGCAGACAUCCACCGGAACGUUGCGAUUUCGGUUGAGUGUCACUUAAGCCAGCCUGGUUCAGCACUGAAACCUUUCUUCACUACUUCACAGUACAAUGAUGAUCAGUUUUUGUUUCAUCCUGUGUGAUAUUACGACUCAUUCUUAUGACAUGUGUUAUAUGCAGAGUGGCAUGGAAUCAAAGGUCGGAUCAUUCUGUUACUGACUUCCCUAAAUGUAUAUAUUACUCACGCUUUGUGGGUUCUGACCAUAUAAAUCGCUUUCUGAAACUAAGAAAUAUGCAACUAAGAACUGGUUAAAUUAUGAACAUUACUUAAGACUUAUUAUUUUCAGGUUGUGAACAGCUACAUUCGUGUGUGUGUGAAUUCGUAAGGGACCAAACUACUGAGGUCGUCGGUUCCUAGACUUCCACGCUACAUAAACUAACUUAUGCUAAAAACAAUACAUACAUCCAUGCACGAGGGAGGACUCGAACCUCUGCCGGGAGGGAGCUGCAUUCUUUUUUAAACAGUUUCACAUUGAGUUAAAACUUAUGUUGUUUAUCAAGCGGUUGCUUAUUAAAUUUCGCGGUAGAUACAAAGGUCGAUGGAGAUUUUUCAUUGCUAGUUUAAUGUGAAAUAAAUUUACAAUGAGAUUACGAGAACAUUUCCAUCAAUAAGCUGUGAUUCAGUUAUUUCCAAAUGCUGUGGAUGAAAUCUUUUGAUGUUUCAGAGUUGUACUGAUGCAGAAUCUUCAGACCA